rnacentral:rRNA from 1 species
CCUUCAACAGUACUAGGGGAACCUGUGUGGUAAUCGACACUCCACGUUAAUAACUAACCUUCCUUUGAAAAAUAUUCAGCCUGUAUACCUCCGCCUUAGCUCACCUUUAAGAGACUUAUAGUGAGCAAGAAGUGAAUUCCACCAAAUGGCAGGUCAAGGUGCAGCUCAUGGGAAGGGGCAUCAUGGGUGACAAUUCGAUAAAAGAACAAUGGAUUUCCUCCGGAAACGGAGGAAUAAAAAUGGACUUAGAAGUAAGGGGUCCUUUAGAAAAGACCCCUGAAAUACUCCCUAGAAGGUGCACAAAUC